CCCUUCGGGGACAAAGUGACAGGUGGUGCAUGGUUGUCGUCAGCUCGUGUCGUGAGAUGUUGGGUUAAGUCCCGCAACGAGCGCAACCCUUGAUUUUAGUUGCCAGCAUUUAGUUGGGCACUCUAAAGUGACUGCCGGUGCAAGCCGGAGGAAGGUGGGGAUGACGUCAAAUCAUCAUGCCCCUUAUGACCUGGGCUACACACGUGCUACAAUGGAUAGUACAAAGGGUCGCGAAGCCGCGAGGUGGAGCUAAUCCCAUAAAACUAUUCUCAGUUCGGAUUGUAGGCUGCAACUCGCCUACAUGAAGCCGGAAUCGCUAGUAAUCGUGGAUCAGCAUGCCACGGUGAA
rnacentral:rRNA from 1 species